AUUGAACGCUGGCGGCAUGCUUUACACAUGCAAGUCGAACGGUAACAGGGUGCUUGCAUCGCUGACGAGUGGCGAACGGGUGAGUAAUGUCUGGGAAACUGCCCGAUGGAGGGGGAUAACUACUGGAAACGGUAGCUAAUACCGCAUAACGUCGCAAGACCAAAGUGGGGGACCUUCGGGCCUCACACCAUCGGAUGUGCCCAGAUGGGAUUAGCUAGUAGGUGGGGUAAUGGCUCACCUAGGCGACGAUCCCUAGCUGGUCUGAGAGGAUGACCAGCCACACUGGAACUGGGACACGGUCCAGACUCCUAAGGGAGGCAGCAGUGGGGAAUAUUGCACAAUGGGCGCAAGCCUGAUGCAGCCAUGCCGCGUGUAUGAAGAAGGCCUUCGGGUUGUAAAGUACUUUCAGCGGGGAGGAAGGCGGUGAAGUUAAUAGCUUCACCGAUUGACGUUACCCGCAGAAGAAGCACCGGCUAACUCCGUGCCAGCCGCCGCGGUAA
rnacentral:rRNA from 1 species